GGUUGGGUUUGGCUCUCGUGCCAACAACACCUGGCGAGAGAUUUGGGACAGCAGGGAUGAUGGCUAUGCAGCCUUUAUACUGAAAAAAAUGCUGUGCUUCAGGGACAAGGAUGCACAAGCUACAGCAAUACCUGCAGAAGAAGCUGCCCUCACCACCCUCUGGCUCUUCUCUGAUGACACAUACGUCAAAUGCUCCUGCUGAAGCCAUGGUGAUGGAUGAAGAUGAAGAGCUGGAGAGAGUGAUGCUGAGCAUUUCUCCUACCAAGCAACAUGAGCAAAGCUCUGUUUCUGCACCAGCAUCAUCAACUGCCAGACCACCACAUGCUUCUGGAACAGAUAG